rnacentral:rRNA from 1 species
GAGGCAGCAGUGGGGAAUAUUGGACAAUGGGCGAAAGCCUGAUCCAGCAAUACCGCGUGUGUGAAGAAGGCCUUCGGGUUGUAAAGCACUUUAAGUUGGGAAGAAAAAACUUCAAUUAAUACUUGAAGUCUUGACGGUACCGACAGAAUAAGCACCGGCUAACUCUGUGCCAGCAGCCGCGGUAAUACAGAGGGUGCUAGCGUUAAUCGGAUUUACUGGGCGUAAAGCGUGCGUAGGCGGUUUGAUAAGUCGGUUGUGAAAGCCCCGGGCUCAACCUGGGAAUUGCGGCCGAUACUGUCAGACUAGAAAACGGUAGAGGGAGGCGGAACUCCAGGUGUAGCGGUGAAAUGCGUAGAGAUCUGGAGGAAUACCGAUGGCGAAGGCAGCCAUCUGGCCUAAUACUGACGCUGAGGUACGAAAGCGUGGGGAGCAAACAGGAUUAGAUACCCUGGUAGUCCAUGCCGUAAACGAUGUCUACUAGCCGUUGGGGCCUUUGAGGCUUUAGUGGCGCAGCUAACGCGAUAAGUAGACCGCCUGGGGAGUACGGCCGCAAGGUUAAAACUCAAAUGAAUUGACGGGGGCCCGCACAAGCGGUGG